AGAGCGUCUGAGCGAAGAGAAGGUAGCAGCUAGAGGAGGCAUCCAAAGGGAUCGCAUUGAUCCUUUAUUAUCCACAAUUUUGGAUCAUGCCAUCCCUUUGAAUUUCUCCUUUGGUAGCUAAAUAUAUUAUUCCUCAAAAUAAAAUAAAUAAAAUCUGGAGAUUCGACGGCUAACUCCAAAUCAAGCAAUUGUUGAAGACUUUGACUGUCGUUGUUGAUCAAUCAAUGACCACCAUUGGUUGCUAUUGAUGUCAUCGUCGAUGGACCAUCCAUUCCUUCAAAAGUACAAGGAUAACUUAUUGUACCAAAGAACAAGUCGUAAUGGACCGGUGAAGAUCGAAGACUUGUUCAACUCA